rnacentral:rRNA from 1 species
CCCUUAGAUGUUCGGGGCUGCACACGCGCUACACUGGAGGAAACAGCGUGUAUUGACCUGGUCCGAAAGGACUGGGUAAACCUGUGAAACUUCUCCGUGCUUGGGAUAGCGGAUUGCAAUUGUUUCGCAUCAACGAGGAAUUCCUAGUAAGCGCGAGUCAUCAGCUCGUGCUGAUUACGUCCCUGCCCUUUGUACACACCGCCCGUCGCUGCAACUGAUUGGGUGACCUGGUGAACAUCUUGGACUGGUCCACUCAAUUUCGAGAGGACUGGAAAAGGCCGUAAAUCAGGUACAUCUAGAAAUUGCAAAAGUCGUAACA